rnacentral:rRNA from 1 species
UACGUAGGGCGCAAGCGUUAUCCGGAAUUAUUGGGCGUAAAGCGCACGUAGGCGGCCAACUAAGUCGGACGUGAGAUCCCUCAGCUUAACUGGGGAACUGCGUCCGAUACUGGAUGGCUUGGAUUUGGGAGAGGGAUGCGGAAUUCCAGGUGUAGCGGUGAAAUGCGUAGAGCUCGGGAAGAACAUCGGUGGCGAAAGCGCUCUACUGGACGACAACUGACACUCAUGGACGAAAGCUAGGGGAGCGAAUGGG